AGAGGCUUAUCUCUCACCACGACAGACCAGUGAAGGGUUUCUGCCAUCAGAUCCCUCACCACGACAGACUCGAGGUUUCUGCUUUCAGAUCCUUCUCUACGGACCGUAUGCUGACGGACUUCCCUGGGCCUGCUACCUGAGACCUGCUGCUUCCUCCCUGACUUACUCGGCGGCUUCUUCCUGGACCCACCCGGUACCUGCACCCUCUCGUUGCCCAAGAGCGGCCUCGCUGCUUCUGCCCUUCGGCCUCGGACCGUCGGAACGUCGUGCAACAGGACUACUGCCGGAUCCUGGUGUUUGAGCCUCUACUAUCAUACCACAAACAUCUGCCUCUGAUGUGGGAAAGCAUAACAAAACAGGAGGUUCUGGAACAGUCCUCAAACAAGCUUCACAAACCUGGAGAUCUGAGUACCGUAAGCUUGAGGUUAGUAACUGUUUCACUGCCGACUAAAGAGAUAACUUCUUUGCAGUAAUUGAGAGUCUGCAAAAUGAAAUGCUACUGUCAUGUAAAACAUCUGACCUUUACAGUUGAGACAACAAGAACGUGCUAAAGUAUGCCAAGAAAAUAUUGCUGUUACAAAGGAUUCAAUAAACUAUAUUUCUUCUCAUUUAUAAGCAACAAAAAGUCAGCAAAACUUAUGUGGAACACUGGUGCAAAGGAUAGGCUGUUCUACAUAAGCUGAUAUUCUUUAUGCUCUCAAGUAGAACUACUUGGACUGAGGGAGCAUGAUGAUAUGAUUCAGAAUACCGAAGUGCGCUGAUGUAAAAGAAGCUACUCCAGGACUGCCAUGUGUCAACAUAGCUUCUGAUGGAGAAAUGAAGACACACAAAAAAAUGUUUUCAGUGAACAUUAAAGAUGCAUGCUUCAUUGUACAAAUAAUAUAUAAACAUAUAUCUUUUUUAACUUUUAUGUUUUGCUCCAUGUAGUUGUGAAUCACAGUCUUAUUUUGCAAAGAGAAUUACAAGGUUAUAAAUACAUAGAACGAUACGUCCUUUAAAAUUGGAUUUGUAAAACUAUUGUUCACAAUAUGCAAUAUGAAUUCCCUUUUGAAGAAACACAGAAAAUAAAUAAAUAAAUAAAGAUAUCCAGGGGUUUAAAAACAUUUUCUGUGUCAGACUAUUCAGUAGAAAAGGGCUGUACUGUAUUAUUACUUUUUUCUCCAUCGAAGAGACCACAUUUGCAUCAUAUUUUUUCUUGUUAGUAUUUUUCAUACAAAAGGCAGUAAUGAAGCUUUUGAAAUUUGGUAGGUAUUAAGGUAAGGAAUCUAUUUCUAAAAGUAACUCAAAGAUGUCUUGAAGUUCAAAUAUGCACUGCAUUAGAGAAGUUGCAUAUUUAUUAGUUUCAGUUAAAUAUUUUUUCUACACUGAAAUUUUCUGCUUGGUUCUUUAGUGUGACUUGAAGCAAGAUUCUUUUUCUUUUUUCUUUUUUAUUUUUAAUAUUAAUAAUGAAGCUAUUUGGGAUUGCAACUCUUCAUCACAAUUAACAGACUACGACACAUGCCAGGAAAUUCUUAUAAUGUCUGCUAAUAAAGUCUUGACAGUGUAAAAUCCUGUGUGAUUUUGACAUUGGAUGUGUGUGGUGGAUAUAAGUGAUGUCCCAAUAAAACAACUAG
ensembl:lncRNA